GGCAAAAGCAAAACUGUUUCAAAAACAAACAAACAAAAAAACCGGCUGGGUGUGGUGAUACAUGCCUGUAGUCCCAGGUAAUCAGGAGACUGAGGCGGGAGGAUCACUUGAAUCCAGGAGUUGGACAUGGCAGUGAGCUGUGAUUGUGUCACUGCCCUCCAGCAGCCUGGGUGACAGAGAGAGACCCUGUCUCAAUAUAUUAGGUUGGCGCAAAAGUAAUUGCAGUUUUUGCCACUGAAAGUAAUGCCAUUGGAGGUAAUGGCAAAAACAGCAAUUACUUUUGCGCCAAUCUAAUAGAUAUGUAGAUAAUAUGAUCGAUGGUGAUCAGUGAUAACAGUGAAAAAGAAACAGAACAGGGAACAAGGGGCCGGGCUCAGUGGUUCACGCCUGUAAUCCCAGCACUUUGGGAGGCCGAGGUGGACGGAUCACUUGAGGCCAGGAGUUCGAGAACAGCCUGGCCAACAUGGUAAAACCCCACUUCUACUAAAAAUACAAAAAAAUUUAGCCAGGCAUGGUGGUGUGCGUCUGUGGUGCCAGCUACCCGGGAGGCUGAGGUGGGAGGAUCCCUUGAACACAGGAGGCAGAGGCUGCAGUGAGCUGAGAUCGCGCCAUUGCACGCCAGCCUGGGUGACAGAGUGAGACCCUGUCUCCAAAAAACAAACAAACAAAAACAAAAAAAGAAAAGAAAAAGGAACAAGGAAAAUAAGAUGGUAAAUGUGGUCUCCAAGGUCUUGUUUCAUCUUCCUAUGUCCAUUAUUUUUCCCAUUAUGCAAGUGAGGAGGAGGUUCAGAGAGGUGGAGUAACUCGUCCAGGGACUCACAGUGCGCAAGCUGAGACGUCAGUGUCCUGGAAGGACCCAUCCUGCAAUCGUUCUUGGCUGUGUUCCUACCCAGUGCCUAGGAUGGAGGUGAAGACAAAAAGAGCAUCAGGCUUUCUCUCAAGAGCUUGAGACCUGGCAAGCGGGUAGGUCAAUCCCUGUGAGCAGAGGACUCCCUAAAGCCCUUGCGAUGCAUCCAUGAGGUGCCCAGAGCAGACAUUGAGGAAUCACCUUGGGAGAAGCGGAUGCAGAGGCUGGAGUCGAAGCUCAGGCUGAUGAAUCGAUUCCAGAGAUCAGGAGCAGAAGGCAAAGUCCCCGUAGGAUCUUCUGGGACUAUUGGUGGCUCCCAGGCCCACCAGUCCUGGCUCUACUCCCCUUCAGCCCUCUUAUCUCCAGCCUUUAGGCCUUCAGGCUGGGGAUGAGAGCCAACGUCUUCAUUUCAGAACAUCUCAGCCGCAUCAGGGGGAUCGUCACACUCUCUGCCAUGAAUAGGUGACGCGGGAUGAAGAGGAGAGUUUCCUAUCAAGGCUGCUGUGUUUUGUUUUUGUUUUGUAGAUAUGGGGUUUCACCAUGUUGCCCAGGCUGGUCUCUAACUCCUGGGCUCAAGGGAUCCACCCGCUUUGACCUCCCAAAUUGUUGGGAUUACAGGUAUGAGCCACAGUGCCUGCCUAAGGUUGCUUUCUGUGUGAAUCAAGGAGGCAUUCAAUAAAUAGUUGUGGGAUUAAUGAAUGUCAUUUCAAGGAGGGUUAAAAGCCAUGGACACCAUCUGUAAAGGGUAUUAUAAUUUGGUUAUCCAGGAAAACAGAAAAUUUCAGCAGUUAUUUGAGAUUUCCAGAAGG
rnacentral:lncRNA from 1 species